rnacentral:misc_RNA from 1 species
UUUCCGUAGGUGAACCUGCGGAAGGAUCAUUACUGAGUGAGGGCCCUCUGGGUCCUACCUCCCACCCGUGUUUUUUGUCCCUUGUUGCUGCGGUGAGCCCGCCUCUCGGCCGCCGGGGGGCAUCUGCCCCCGCGCCCGCGCUGGCCGAAGACACCCUUGUACUCUAUCUGGAGUUUGUAGUCAGAGCGAAUACUAAAUAUGUUAAAACUUUCAACAACGGAUCUCUUGGUUCCG